rnacentral:lncRNA from 1 species
UGGCCUUCUCAAGAUCUCAAUCUUCUCAGGUCAGUCACUCAUAGACCUGCGAACUAGCAAGAGAGAAAUAAAAGUAAGAUGAUUGAUAAGGGCUUGAGAUCUCUCUAUAUGAGAUCUUUGAGCUAUGAAAGUUUCUCCCUUUUGUAGCUUAUCUUUUUUGGUUCCCCUUGGCCCUAUUUAUAUAGCAUAAGAGCAUGGAUCCAUUACAAUUUGGAGGUAGAAAUCAAGAAAUUGUUGUAACCUUCUUCUUUAUUUGAUUUUAAAUCUAUUAUAGUCAACCUUUCAUUUAUGG